GUGCAGAAAGCAAGCCAAACAAAUUGCCCCGCAAAUCAACCUGAUGGAACCCUGGUUCAUGAGUCAACCCAACACCCAACUCUGCCAAGCAAGAGAAAACCCUGGCAUCACUCCCGUACGGGCAUAUCGCACCAAACACGAAUCCAAAACCCUAGCCAAAACCCUACCAAGUGAAUAACUUAUCGCGAAACCUCCACCUCCAAAGGCCAUAUCAAAUGAAUACUUCAAAUUCUGCUCAUAACUCUCUGAAUUGCUCCCUAUAUAAUACCAUUUAUUAUGGUCAUACUUGGACAACGUUUUCACCAAAUUUUCCACGAAAAACACCGUGUCAUCGUCUCCGAACACAAACCACCGCACAUUUGAUUGAUCGAGGUCCACCGCCUCUUUCACCAACCGCGCCCCGAAUCGCCGACCUUAGACCGCCCUUGAAGGUGUAGGGGAAACGAGAGGUGUCUUUGGAUAGGAUCACGGGAGGAAGGGUGGGAUCAACAGAAAGGGAUGCGUUAACGUCAAGGAAGGUAAAUGCGCGAGUAGAGUUGGGAUUGUACCAGAGGCGGAGGUAGGACGCGCGGCGAGGAAAGGAGGAGGUGAAGGAGGCAAUGGAGAAGAGGAGGUGACUACGCGUGGUGGGACUCGAGGUUAAAGCUCCGAUAGUGGCGGCGCGUUGGACGGAAGAUGGUGGAGGUGGAGCGCGAAAGAGGAGGUGGAGGAUUAAGAGGAGGGAGAAAACUAAGAGAAUAUCUUUGAGGCGCGAAGGGCGUAGAAUUAGGGCCUUGUUGGUGGAGGUGGUGGUGGUGGAUGAUGAGGGUGGCAUGACGGUAGCGGAGCCAGAGCUUUUACGAAAGCGAGUGGAGAGAAAUGGGAAGGGUUUACUAUUUCUCUCUUGGUACAUAUUAUUUUGGUUGAGACGGCGGCGUUUAUCGGUGUCUGUCCCAGUGGCAAUAUGGCCAGAGAGAAGACUUCUUCCACCGGAGUAUUUUGGCUGCG
rnacentral:misc_RNA from 1 species